rnacentral:rRNA from 1 species
AGAGUUUGAUCCUGGCUGGGAUGAAGGCUGGCCGAUGCCUAACACAUGACUGCUUGACGGGCUCUUCCCAGCUGUGGACUGAUGGUGGGUAACGCGUGAGAACCUGGCCUUCGUACUGGGACAAUUCCUGGAAACUGCUGCUAAUACCGGAUGAAUCCAAGGGUAAAAGAUUAAUCGCUUAGGGAUGGGCUCGCGCCAAAUUAUCUCCAUGGUAGGGUGAAGGCCUACCAUGGCUACGAUCUGCCUCUGGUCUGAGAGGAUGAGCAGCCACACUGGGACUGAGACACGGCCCAGACUCCUACGGGAGGCAGCAGUGGGGAAUUUUCCGCAAUGGGCGAAAGCCUGACGGAGCAAUACCGCGUGAGGGAGGAAGGCUCUUGGGUCGUAAACCUCUUUUCUCAGGGAAGAUAAUGACGGUACCUGAGGAAUAAGCAUCGGCUAACUCUGUGCCAGCAGCCGCGGUAAUACAGAGGAUGCAAGCGUUAUCCGGAAUGAUUGGGCGUAAAGAGUCCGUAGGUGGCAUUGUAAGUCUGUGGUUAAAGAGUGGAGCUUAACUCCAUAGGGGCCAUAGAAACUACAAAGCUAGAGUAAGGUAGGGGUAGAGGGAAUUCUCGGUGUAGCGGUGAAAUGCGUAGAUAUCGGGAAGAACACCGGUGGCGAAGGCGCUCUACUGGACCUUAACUGACACUGAGGGACGAAAGCUAGGGGAGCGAAAGGGAUUAGAUACCCCUGUAGUCCUAGCCGUAAACGAUGGAUACUAGUUGUUAUGGGUAUCGACCCCUAUAGUGACGAAGCUAACGCGUUAAGUAUCCCGCCUGGGGAGUACGCACGCAAGUGUGAAACUCAAAGGAAUUGACGGGGGCCCGCACAAGCGGUGGAGUAUGUGGUUUAAUUCGAUGCAACGCGAAGAACCUUACCAAGGCUUGACAUCCUGCGAAUUCCGGCGAAAGUUGGAAGUGCCUUCGGGAACGCAGAGACAGGUGGUGCAUGGCUGUCGUCAGCUCGUGUCGUGAGAUGUUGGGUUAAGUCCCGCAACGAGCGCAACCCUCGUCCUUAGUUGCCAGCAUUAAGUUGGGCACUUUAGGGAGACUGCCGGUGACAAACCGGAGGAAGGUGGGGAUGACGUCAAGUCAGCAUGCCCCUUAUGUCUUGGGCUACACACGUACUACAAUGCGACGGACAGAGGGCAGCCAACUAGCGAUAGUGAGCUAAUCCCGUAAACCGUCGCCCAGUUCAGAUUGCAGGCUGCAACUCGCCUGCAUGAAGGAGGAAUCGCUAGUAAUCGCCGGUCAGCAUACGGCGGUGAAUCCGUUCCCGGGCCUUGUACACACCGCCCGUCACACCAUGGGAGUUGGUCACGCCCGAAGUCGUUACCCUAACUGCUUGCAGAGGGGGACGCCGAAGGUAGGACUGAUGACUGGGGUGAAGUCGUAACAAGGUAACCGUA